rnacentral:lncRNA from 1 species
AUGAAAAGUCCACAAAAGAGAAUUUUCUGAUGUGAGAAUGGAGGGUGUUGCCUGCAACUACCCCAGAUCCCUGCGGUGGCAGUUUAAGCCGCCUCCUGGAGCAGAUUGUUAAGCUGAUGCGAGUCUGGGCUCUGCCUCACCACUUGUCUCAGAGAUCACUAAUUCUCAAGCCAGCUCUCAUGUCAAAAGGACAUGCAGACAGUCUAUGGAGAGGCCAUGGGGACUCUAGCCAACAGCCAGUGAGGGCCUGAAGCCAUGAACACUGUGAGCACACUUGGAAGUGGCUCCUCCAGCCCCAGUCAAGCC